rnacentral:misc_RNA from 1 species
GGGGCACGAGGGUGGGCAUCAUGAGUCUGGGCACUCCAGUUCAUCAAUCUCCAAAGCACUCACGGGGUUGUCCUUCGUUACGCCUGCUGAUCCUAAUGCCUCAAACGAAGAAACAUACUCUUUUCCAGACUCUCCUGAUCCCAUGGCCUCUGACCAAGAAACAGACUCUAUUAUAGAUUCAGUAGAGUCAUUACUUGACUCUGACUAUGGUGGGGAUCCAAUGGAUGCAGAUGAACACCCAAUGGUUUAUAUCAGAAAGGUUUACGCCAUCGUUGAAGGAGCCAUUCAAACAAAUAAUUUAGAUGGUGUGAUUGAC